rnacentral:rRNA from 1 species
UACGAACUGUGCGAACGUUAUUCGGAAUCACUGGGCUUACAGGGUGCGUAGGCGGCUUGUUAAGUAGGGUGUGAAAGCCCCCGGCUCAACCGGGGAAUUGCGCCCUAAACUGGCGAGCUGGAGUGAGAUAGGGGUGUGUGGAACUUCCGGUGGAGCGGUGAAAUGCGUUGAUAUCGGAAGGAACGCCGGUGGCGAAAGCGGUCCGCUGGACCUCUACUGACGCUGAGGCGCGAAAGCCAGGGGAGCAAACGGG